rnacentral:rRNA from 1 species
CCUACGGGAGGCAGCAGUGGGGAAUAUUGCGCAAUGGGGGCAACCCUGAUCCAGCAACGCCGCGUGAAGGAAGAAGGCUUUCGGGUUGUAAACUUCUAUCAAGAGGGAAGAGCAGAACACGGUACCUCUUGAAUAAGCCACGGCUAACUACGCCCCAGCAGCCGCGGUAAUACGUAGGUGGCAAGCGUUGUCCGUAUUUACUGGGUGUAAAGGGCGUGCAGCCGGGAAGACAAGUCAGAUGUGAAAUCCCGCGGCUCAACCGCGGAACUGCAUUUGAAACUGUUUUUCUGGAGUACCGGAGAGGUCAUCGGAAUUCCUAGUGUAGCGGUGAAAUGCGUAGAUAUAAGGAAGAACACCAGUGGCGAAGGCGGAUGACUGGACGGCAACUGACGGUGAGGCGCGAAGGCGUGGGGAGCAAACAGGAUUAGAUACCCUUGUAGUC